UCAGCUCCUUAUUGCUGUUGCUACGGCCAGA
rnacentral:piRNA from 1 species